UACAGAGGGUGCAAGCGUUGUUCGGAAUUAUUGGGCGUAAAGGGCGCGUAGGCGGUGCGGUAAGUCACCUGUGAAACCUCUAGGCUUAACCUAGAGCCUGCAGGCGAAACUGCCGUGCUUGAGGGUGGGAGAGGUGCGUGGAAUUCCCGGUGUAGCGGUGAAAUGCGCAGAUAUCAGGAGGAACACCCGUGGCGAAAGCGGCUCUCUGGGACGGUACUGACGCUGAGACGCGAAAGCGUGGGGAGCAAACAGG
rnacentral:rRNA from 1 species